rnacentral:rRNA from 1 species
UUCGCAAUGCCCGAAAGGGUGACGAAGCGACGCCGCGUGUGGGAAGAAGGCCUUCGGGUUGUAAACCACUGUCGGGAGUUAAGAAAUGCAAGGAUAUUAAUAGUGUCUUUGUUUGACUAAGGCUCCGGAGGAAGCCACGGCUAACUCUGUGCCAGCAGCCGCGGUAAUACAGAGGCGGCAAGCGUUGUUCGGAAUUAUUGGGCGUAAAGAGCACGUAGGCGGCUAUGUAAGUCGGUUGUGAAAGCCUUCCGCUCAAUGGAAGAACAGCAUCCGAUACUACAUGGCUUGAGUGCGGGAGGGGAGAGUGGAACUUCUGGUGGAGCGGUGAAAUGCGUAGAUAUCAGAAGGAACGCCGGCGGCGAAAGCGGCUCUCUGGCCCAUAACUGACGCUGAGUGUGCGAAAGCUAGGGGAGCAAACGGGAUUAGAUACCCCGGUAGUCCUAGCCGUAAACGAUGGGCACUAAGUAGAGGGGUUUU